AUUUACGUACGCGUCAAGGAAAGCGCAAAAACAGCGCCCCCGUGCAGAGUGUACUGUUUGAUAAGAUCAAGGAACAUACGAAGACCCAGGCUUUGGCCAAAAAACCCAUAAACCCCUAAAUUCAAAUGCCAUGGUUAAAUAAAAACUGCCACUUUCAGCACAUCCCUUAAACCUACAACACAGAGAGAGAGAGAGAUAGAGUUAAAAGAUGAAGGAAGAGGAAGAAGGACCCCCAGAUAGAGAGCUGUAUGCGCUGCUUCACAUUUCACCGGAUGCCUCCGAUGAAGAAAUCAAAAAAGCUUACAGGCAAUGGGCCCAAAUCUAUCAUCCUGAUAAAUGCCAAGCUCCUCAUAUGAAAGAUACUGCUACAGAAAACUUUCAGCGGGUAUCCCGUGCUUAUGAGAUUCUGUUGGAUGAGAAUAAAAGGAAGAUAUAUGACAUUUAUGGUAUGGAAGGGUUGACUUCUGGUUUGGAACUUGGGAAAAAACUGAAUAAAGCUGAAGAGUUAAAGGAAGAACUUGAGAGGUUACGGAAACUGAAGGAAGAACUUGAGAGGUUACGGAAACUGAAGGAACAAGAGGUCUCAGCACAUUUCCGACCUUCUGGUACAAUGUGGGCCGAUAUGUCUUUGCCGGACCUUUUGCAUGGUCAUGGCAUCAUGAGAGGGAUGGCUAUGACAAGUUCAGUCCAGUCUCACAUAUCAAAGCACAAUAUCCUUUCAAUUGGUGGAAAUUUGAAAGUUAAUGGGGACUCUGGCUAUGGAUAUUGGCUUUGGGCGUCAGAUUUCUUCAGUUUCUUCCAUAGAAUUCAUAGGUUCAGCUGGUUUAUGGCCACUUAUUGGGGUGCAGACAUCUCGUAACUUGUCAUCCCAUUUAACUGCAACAAUGGGACUUUCAAUGUCUUUGAGAGAUGGUUCGCUGAAUCUCUCCAAUACCUGGGUGCGACGACUAUCUGAAUCUACAAGUGGAAAUAUCCAGCUUGCUUUAGGCUCAGACUCAGCUCUUUCAGUAGGCUGGCGAAAGAAAAACGAGAAAUUGUCUGCUGCAGGACAGCUGAAGUGUGGGAUAGAUUCUUUUGCGGCAUCAGCUCAUUAUAAGCAUCGGUUUUCAUCAAAGUCUCGUGGUUGUAUUGCGGGGAAAGUUGGAAGCAAUGCCCUUGAGCUUGAAGUUGGCGUUGGGAGAAAGUUAUCUAAUUUAAGCAGCGUUCGCAUGUUGUAUUCAAUAGGGAUUCAGGGUAUCUCUUGGAAAUUCAAAUUGCGUCGUGGGGGCCAAAAGUUAGUUAUUCCUAUUUUGCUUUCCGGGGAUUUGGAUCCUGUAUUUGCAGCUGCAGCGGUCAUAAUUCCAACAUCACUUUACUUCGUACUCAAGAAAUUCGUUUUGAAACCUUAUUACCUUAAGAGGGAAAAGCAAAAGGCUUUAGAGAAUAUGGAGAAAACUUCUACACCGGUUCUAGAGGCAAGAGCAGCAGCAGACAAAGCUCAGAAGUUACUACAGAAUGUAGCGAAUAGGAAACAAAAUAGGCAGCUAGAAAUCGGGGGCCUGGUAAUCACAAAAGCAUGGUAUGGGAAUCUCAAAGCUUUGAAGAAAAGAGAUGAACUGGUAGAAUCGAAUGAUUCACCAGUCAUUGAUGUUAAAUUGCCCCUAAAUUUCCUUGUCAGUGAUUCUGGGCAACUGAAGCUUCAUGAAGGCGUAAAGAAGUCCGGCAUUAUGGGCUUCUGUGAUCCAUGUCCUGGAGAGCCUAAACAGUUGUAUGUGGAAUACACUUACGGUGAUGGGAGAUAUGAGGUUACCGUUGAUGAUUAUGACAAGUUGCUAAUACCUCAGGAAGAGCACAGAAUUUGAUUUUCAUUUCACCAUGUUUGAAUCUCAUUUGCUUACCUAUCACAGUUUGAAUGAUUUUACAAGCCUUGAGACAAAAUGAAAAGGUAUCGUAUUAGAUUUCCACCUUUUUCUCCCAUUACAACCGAUCCUUUUUAUCUUUUUCCUUGAAUAUUGUAUUUAAUUAGAAACCUGAAAAUAGGUUUCCCUGUGUAUUAUUCUUUUUGACAAAAAUUGAAAUAAAGGCCAUAUUUUUAUACCA